GAUGAACGCUGGCGGCGUGCCUAAUACAUGCAAGUCGAGCGAACGGACGAGAAGCUUGCUUUUCUGAUGUUAGCGGCGGACGGGUGAGUAACACGUGGAUAACCUACCUAUAAGACUGGGAUAACUUCGGGAAACCGGAGCUAAUACCGGAUAAUAUUUUGAACCGCAUGGUUCAAAAGUGAAAGACGGUCUUGCUGUCACUUAUAGAUGGAACCGCGCUGCAUUAGCUAGUUGGUAAGGUAACGGCUUACCAAGGCAACGAUGCAUAGCCGACCUGAGAGGGUGAUCGGCCACACUGGAACUGAGACACGGUCCAGACUCCUACGGGAGGCAGCAGUAGGGAAUCUUCCGCAAUGGGCGAAAGCCUGACGGAGCAACGCCGCGUGAGUGAUGAAGGUCUUCGGAUCGUAAAACUCUGUUAUUAGGGAAGAACAGAUGUGUAAGUAACUGUGCACAUCUUGACGGUACCUAAUCAGAAAGCCACGGCUAACUACGUG
rnacentral:rRNA from 1 species